UCUUAUCCCCUGUACGCCGCCCCUGUUCAGAUUUUUUUCAGCGCCCUUAUCUCCUACGCGCGUGCUCAUCGAUCCAUUUCAGCUGCCGCGCGUCCCUGCGGUCUUCCAGCUCCAGCGUCGGCUGCUCCUCCCUGGCCACCCGCGCCCCUUGCUUCUCCCUUCUCACGCUCCCCGUCGAGCUCCCUGGUCGCCGCGCAGUCGAGCUCCCUCAGCUCGCUCCUCCUGUGCCGCGCGCCAGCCCCUGGUUCGGCUCUACUCCUCCCUGCUUGCCGUUCCUAUCCCCCUGCCAUGGAGUCCGUCGUCAGUCCGAGCUCGCCCAUCCUCUGCUCGGUUUCAACUUGGUCGUGCCUGCAGCUUCUCCCAUAGUGAGCUCCCUCCACUGCCCUAGGUUCCCAUGGUGAGCUCCCUCCACUGCCCUAGGUUUGUCAAGCGCUACCUCUACUCCAUCUCUUCCUGCUCGAAUCUUGCUGAUUGGCCCUGCGCAGAUUAUCCUCAUGCCCGACCACGGUACAACAGCAACAGCCAUGAAACCCCUUCGUGUCGCGCCCUCGAUAUGCUCGAUGAAAUACCGCAGCGAGCUCCGCUCCGGAUCUGCGCAGCCCCGGCCUUGUUGUCGACCUCAGUACGAUAAGUGAUCACGUGAUGUGAAGGACUAGAGCUCGGUCGACCACAAGAUGGUGUUAAGUAUUGGUUUCUUCGCAAGGUGAUGCUAAUGAACAAACUUAAGGAUGGACAGACUGAACCAGUGCCAACACACAAGGCUGGUCGCCAAGUGGUCAUCGUCUAACAACACUAACCUAGUGUUAUCCCAGGCAAGCCCCAGUGCAUUUGCCACCUCCUUGCUGUUUUAAAAACAUUUUAUCACUUAUAUGCUGCAUUAGGUGGUAGGAGUUGAAUGGGUAAACCUUUGCUGCAUAACUUCCUUGAAUUAUUGAUUAUCAUCCUUGAUACCUGAUUUGAAAAUCUAGAUAUGCUUAGCCUGCUUAUAGACAAGGAACAAAAUAUUUUGAUGUAUGAAUCAUGUUUUUACAAAGAAAAAGGGGCUGGAAUGAUGAAGGUAUCAAAGGUCUUGAUGACUUCAUCAUUUCGGUAGGGUACCUCUAAUAGGUUCCAGAUUUUCAGAAUUAUUUUAAUAUGAGACCAGACGUUGAGCAGGAAAGGUCGCCCGUUUGUGUCGAUUAAGGACCGUACCGAAAGUAGGCUUGCUGAUCUAGGACCCUUUAACUGGCCACAUGCCUCAUCAUGGGUAAGCUUAGCCUCGGUCGGACCAAUACCAGAAAGGCCGGCCUGCAAUGGGAGUGGAGAGAUGGCGAGAGUAUCGUGUAUCCACCUGGCAAGAGGCUGGAUGGUGGGGUACUGAGCUCUCGGUUAGCGGGGACCUGUUCUGGUCUUAAGAAACCCGUGGGCGAGUUGACAUAUGCAAGGGUUAAGUGCUACAUAUGUCGUGUGGUUGGAGAUCCUCAGCUGAGUAUUAAUCGAUUCGGAUCGCUGUUACUUCUCGGAUAUGAAGACUAGAUCACUGCCCUGCAUCAUAAUUAACAAGUGAAACUAAAGAUGUUAAAAUGAAGCUAGUGUAGAACAAUUGAAUGCUCUAGAUUAGGCAAAUCUAGAUUCAGGAAAAGUACUUAAUUUGUGAAGUAAAAGUUGGCAUAAGGAUCCACUACUAGUAAGCUUUUCUGCAAAAACGAGUCUUUGAAAUUUGAUGAGCUUUACCUUGAUUCCCAACAAACCAGCAUAUCCUUGAGAGUCUUUUCUUUAGUCGGGUAAGUCUUGCUGAGUAAUUGCGUACUCAGGGCUUUAUUCCCUAUUGUUUUUCAGGUUAUAAGUUUGUUCUGUUGUGGAUAGUGUGGAUGGUGCUAAGUGCCGGUGGGCUCGGCCUUUUUAUAUAAGUAUAUCACAUCUUUAGCUUCUUUAUUGAGGAUUGUCAAUUAAGCUAGCAUGUAUUUUAAAAACUAUAAAUAUUUUAUUCAUUUUAAAUUAUAAUUCUUUUGAAUCACUCUCUUUUGUAAUCACUCCGAUAAUUGUAUAAUGUAAACUUAUUGUAACA